rnacentral:rRNA from 1 species
CCUACGGGGGGCUGCAGUGGGGAAUAUUGGACAAUGGGCGAAAGCCUGAUCCAGCCAUGCCGCGUGUGUGAAGAAGGCCUUCGGGUUGUAAAGCACUUUCAGUGGGGAAGAAAGCCUUGGGGCUAAUACCCUCGAGGAAGGACAUCACCCACAGAAGAAGCACCGGCUAACUCCGUGCCAGCAGCCGCGGUAAUACGGAGGGUGCGAGCGUUAAUCGGAAUUACUGGGCGUAAAGCGCGCGUAGGCGGUCUGAUAAGCCGGUUGUGAAAGCCCCGGGCUCAACCUGGGAACGGCAUCCGGAACUGUCAGGCUAGAGUGCAGUAGAGGAAGGUAGAAUUCCCGGUGUAGCGGUGAAAUGCGUAGAGAUCGGGAGGAAUACCAGUGGCGAAGGCGGCCUUCUGGACUGACACUGACGCUGAGGUGCGAAAGCGUGGGUAGCAAACAGGAUUAGAUACCCUAGUAGUC